UAAGAAAACUUUAUUUCUGUACAGUGCAGCACUCCGUAUUCACAAUGAAUACAAUUAUGUAUCUCCGUGUUACAACUUCAGAUAACAAUCGAUUAUAAAUAUUUAUUAAUAAUAACACACUUUGACGUCGUACAGCCAACACCCAUGAUGUGAAACAAAAGAAGGUCACUAGAAUGUGUGAUGUCCAGGAUAUAUAUGUAUAUAUACAAUGCAUUCAUAUUAUCCAACAAAGUACGCAACAACACUGAAUGGAUGGAGUGGAAUAUCUAUACUACUGAGUGAUAAUCUGUUUCGAUACUUUAUUUAUGUUUUGUGAUUCUCAAAGUUCAUCGGUAAGUUUGCGUAGCUAAGGAGCAGUACAUACUGCCC